GAAAUAAAUUUAAUUUAACUUUAAUUUUUCUUUAUUUUAUUUAUAAAAUUUAGAUUAAUUAAUUUAUAACUAAUAGGGGAUAAGCUCUAUUUGUAUUUUAUAAUCUGAUUUACAAUAUUUAUAGUAGGAUUAUAAUCUUCCAUCUUUUUAUUACGUUAUAGUAUAUGUUACGUAGUUUUUAAUUUUAUUUUAUUUAAAUAUUUAUUAAAAUUUUCUGAUUAAUUAUUAAUUAGUAGUAAUAAUGAUUAAAUUAGUAUAUAAAUUUUGUAUGUUAUUGAAUACUUGUAUAUUUAUUUAUAAGGAACUCGGCAAAUUUUGUGUUCGCCUGUUUAUCAAAAACAUGGCCUCUUGGGUUUAUUAAGAGGUCUGACCUGCCCAGUGAAAAUUUUAACGGCCGCGGUAUUUUGACYGURCAAAGGUAGCAUAAUCAUUAGUCUUUUAAUAGAAGGCUGGAAUGAAAGGUUUAACGAAUCAUUAGCUGUCUCAUUUUUAUAAUUUAAAACUUAAUUUUUAAGUUAAAAAGCUUAAAUUUUAUUGAUGGACGAGAAGACCCUAUAGAGCUUUAUAUUAAAUUUUUUAAUAAAAUGUUGAUUUAUAUUUAUUUAUUAAAAUUAUUUAUUAUUUUGUUGGGGUGACAGAAAUAAAUAAUUAACUUUUUUAUAAUUUAACCAUUAAUAUAUGAGUUUUUGAUCCAUCACUGUUGAUUAUUAGAUUAAGUUACCUUAGGGAUAACAGCGUAAUAU
rnacentral:rRNA from 1 species